rnacentral:rRNA from 1 species
GACGAACGCUGGCGGCGUGCUUAACACAUGCAAGUCGAACGGUAAGGCCCUUCGGGGUACACGAGUGGCGAACGGGUGAGUAACACGUGGGUGAUCUGCCCUGCACUUCGGGAUAAGCCUGGGAAACAGGGUCUAAUACCGGAUAGGACCCUGGGAUGCAUGUCCUGGGUGGAAAGCUUUUGCGGUGUGGGAUGGGCCCGCGGCCUAUCAGCUUGUUGGUGGGGUGAUGGCCUACCAAGGCGACGACGGGGAGCCGGCCUGAGAGGGUGACCGGCCACACUGGGACUGAGAUACGGCCCAGACUCCUACGGGAGGCAGCAGUGGGGAAUAUUGCACAAUGGGCGCAAGCCUGAUGCAGCGACGCCGCGUGAGGGAUGACGGCCUUCGGGUUGUAAACCUCUUUCAGCACCGACGAAGCGCAAGUGACGGUAGGUGCAGAAGAAGGACCGGCCAACUACGUGCCAGCCGCCGCCGUAA